CUCUAGGGGCUGGACUCAGGGCGGUUUGAAAGAUUGGCGCGCACCGCAGGAGAAACGGUUGGUCUUGCGGCUGGGAUGUCGGUGUUGAGGCCGCUGGACAAGCUGCCCGGCCUGAACACGGCCACCAUCUUGCUGGUGGGCACGGAGGAUGCUCUUCUGCAGCAGCUGGCGGACUCGAUGCUCAAGGAGGACUGCGCCUCCGAGCUGAAGGUCCACUUGGCAAAGUCCCUCCCUUUGCCCUCCAGUGUGAAUCGGCCCCGAAUUGACCUGAUCGUGUUUGUGGUUAAUCUUCACAGCAAAUACAGCCUCCAGAACACAGAGGAGUCCCUGCGCCAUGUGGAUGCCAGCUUCUUCUUGGGGAAGGUGUGUUUCCUCGCCACAGGUGGUAAGUACAUUCCUCGCCUGUUACUGCCCACCCCCAGCCAAGGGAAAGCUGGGGCAGCGGUAGCUUCUUGCUGAGGCACCCUGGGUGAUGGAAAGAGCAUGUAUUUUACACGCACUGGGGCCUAUCGGAGGGUGGAGAGCAGGAAGAAGGAGAACAUCAGGAAAAAUAACUAGUGGGUACUAGGCUUAAUACCUGGGUGACAAUGACCUGUACAACAAACCCCAUGACACACGUUUACCUACAUAACAAAUCUGCACAUGUACCCCUGAACUUAAAAGUUAAAUUUAAAAACCGAAA
rnacentral:sRNA from 1 species